rnacentral:lncRNA from 1 species
CAACCCUCAGGUGCAGAUUUUAAGCGUCUUCAAACUUAAACAAGAAGAGAGAGCUAAACAAAUCCCUCUUGAUUCAAUCAAAUACCUCUUUCCAGCCAGCGGGAGUAACAGGCUUUGGGUGUUAGAUGGCUGGCCUGAGUGGAUUAAUAACUUGCUUUGUCUUAUCAGCCGAGUUUCAUCUAGAAAUAAAUCCCACCUGAUCUCUGCGAACAUGGCACGGAAUGAUUCCAGAGAGCACGGAGGACGAGAUGCUCACGCUCUGUGUGGUGCAGGAAGGGCUGUGGGCUGGCCUGGGGCCGUGAGGUCGGGGCUGGGACUUUGCCAUGACAGCAGCACGCUGAUGGAGCGAGACACGAUGUGGGGAGAAAUCCAGCAGAGACUUCUUUUCUCCCUCACUCAGACUCCCACCUCAAGGCUCAAUUUCCACGAUGCCUCCCAUGGGAAAUUCCAUGGAAAAAUAUCAUUUCUCUCUGUCCAAAUAGAAGGGAUGAUUUUCUUGUCAGUCUCCAAAUUGGCCUCCUUGGGACCACGCUCUGAGAUGGUGAUGUCUACAUUACGGAAUAGAGACAACUCUCACCUUACCAAAACAGAGAAGGAAAGAAAAAUGGUGGUUAAUAGAAUCUCUCUUCUCAAAAAACAAACAAACAAACAGAACAAAACAAACAAAAACAUUACAAAAAAUCCUACAGACAGAGAGCCCUCAGACUGUGCCAUUCCUUAGGGUUUCAGCUCAGACUUCUUCAGGGACACUCCAACCUGAUUAAACUCCUAGGGAGACGCAGUUCAGAAAUUUAAUAGCCAAUACAGAUAUCAUAAAAGCCUGACUGUUGUUUGUGGUCAACGGUGCAGUUUUCUUUGAGCAGUGAGGAAGAGAAAUGUGUCUGUGUGUGAUGGAGAGUGGCAAUCAGUACUAAGAUGUGCACCCAGUUUGUUGGGAAAAGUAAUGGGAUAUAAAGGAAAGCAGGAGCAGAGUGAAGGAAGCACAGAAGAGCUGAUGGGAAGCCCCUGAGACUCAGAGGCAAUCUCUGUUCUCCCUUGCCAGCAUGCUGCAGUGUGAUGGAUAAGCGUCUAAAACAUGGGAAAACCUGAAGCAAGGAAGCACUCCUAUCCCUGAUGAAGAUGCAUCAUCACUGGGCUUGGUUCAAAAACCAUUAAAGCUUCUGAGUGGUUCCAGUGGGAAUGAGAACAACCCUUUUUCUGAAGAAAUAGAGGAGGGCUGUCGAUCAUCGUUCUGAAAAACCCUGCAAGUGAUGGACUGUGUCACUGUGAGCCGUGGAAUCGUCACUCCUUCCUCUUGGUUGGGGAGGCAUUGCAGAGUGGUGAUAAGCUGGGGUCAGAGCUGGUGGAGAUUGGAAACUAAAAAAGGACAUAAAUCUGGGAUGGGAUAGAAGUGGGGAAGGUGGAUCCUUGAAUAGAGAGCUGUCCAUUGACACAGCA